rnacentral:rRNA from 1 species
UACGAGGGGGGCAAGCGUUGUUCGGAAUUAUUGGGCGUAAAGGGUGCGUAGGCGGUGCGGUAAGUCUGUUGUGAAAUCUCCGGGCUCAACUCGGAGUCUGCAUCAGAAACUGCCGUGCUGGAGUGUGGGAGAGGUGAGUGGAAUUUCCGGUGUAGCGGUGAAAUGCGUAGAUAUCGGAAGGAACACCUGUGGCGAAAGCGGCUCACUGGACCAUUACUGACGCUGAUGCACGAAAGCUAGGGGAGCAAACAGG